GGCCGAUACGGUGGCACCCUCUUCAAAAUACCUGCAAUGAUUGGAAAACAAAAGGCGGCAGUUUUUCCGGAACCAGUUUGAGCACAAGCCAUCAAAUCCCUACCAUCCAUAACAAUGGGGAUAGCAUGGCGUUGAAUUGGGCAGUUACAUGCAUCUCUACUUGUUCAGAAUUUUACAUUGCAGAAUGAAUUACUCAAGAGGAAAGACAAAUUGUACUUGGCCCUAUGUCAAUCUUAGAACCAAAUUGAUCGCUUGGCUUCAUGCAUCACCUAAAGGGGGUCAUUCAGGUAGAGAAAUCACACUUAGAGUAGACCUGGCAAAGUUGGUCCUGAUCCGAAUUAUCCACCCUUAAGUUUUUAAUUAUACACUCAAGUUAAGUGGUGGAGUCAGGAUUUCCAAUAAGGGGUCGCGUGAUUUUGCAAUUGUAUCAAAUGCAAAAAAAUAGGUGAUUCUGAAAAUUAGAUCUGCACUCAUAAAUUACAUUGUGUUGUACUAAUAUAGAAAGAUUUAAUCAAAAUUAGAAGAUUGUUAUUGUUGUA